AUGUCUCUUGCCUCGCUCGGUCUGUCCGCAUCUACAUCGGCUGAUCUUGAGCUGGAUGCACCGGUCCCUCAGGGGUCCGCUGUAUGAGACGAGAGUGAUGACUCUGCAUGAGUCUCGCGACGAUCUUUGAGUACGGUUUUAUCCGCCAUUGCGCUACGGAUAUCGAAUCGUAAUUUAUCUGUCGGGACAUCU
rnacentral:snoRNA from 1 species